AGCGGUAGACCCGCCGAAGUCGGUUAUUAGGAGCAGGCUUCAAACCACUCUAUGCGGCCGCUGUUAAGAGCAGUGGUCGUGAGCGAUAGAGAAAAGGCAAUGUAGAGUUUGAAGAUUUACCUAAGU
rfam:Gammaproteobacteria bacterium RIFCSPHIGHO2_12_FTLL_41_20 rifcsphigho2_12_scaffold_1298, whole genome shotgun sequence.